GUGUCUGGCUAAUUCCCUGGAAAGAAAGAGGCUAACUGCUCCGGGGACUAGGGACUUUGGUGAGACAAGGUGAGAGGGGGAAAAAGGCCCAUAUCUUUACGUUCUCCCUCGGACUUGGCCAGGGAAGAACCACAGUCACCUUGCACUCCAGACAGCCAGAAAGCAGCGAGUCGGAACCUUGCUUGCCUCCCUCUUAUCCCAGCCGGUUUUUAGCCAUCGCUAAGCCUAGGGCGAGGUUUCGGUCCGGUUUCAGCGUUUCUCCUCUACCUAGCCCCCUGAGGACCCCAGAUUUCUCGCGGUACAGAUCCAGAGAGGGUGGCAUUUCGGGAGGUUGGGUGGCCGGCGCUGGGAUGGGGUUGGUUGAGAAGCCGCAGGAGGAGAGGACCUGGCUGAAAAGCCACGGUUGGGCGCUGGGAAGUCCAGGUGGUCGCUAGCUUACCCACCUCGGCUCGGCGACAGCGAGCCGGGCACUCCCGCCUUUCCUCUGCACAGCGCCCAGCGAUCCGCUCGGCUCGGCCCUGACAGGCGUAAUCUGCCCGGCGUCACCUCCAGCUGCUUCCUCGUUCUCGCUAGUUCCCUCUCGCACGCGAGCGCCAGGAGAAGAGAGAGAUUCGGAGAGGCGGCUGCACGGCUUCGGGGGAGACGAGCGGCGGCUUUGCCUCAGUCCUUUUCCCCGGGGUUCCCCCAGAUCUGUGACCCUGCGACGCUUCCUUGAGCGAAAGCGCGCUUUGGGUCGUGUCCUCGUUGGCUCUCGACGGAGCUGGGAUUGUUGUAACCGCAAAGGAGGCAGAAAUGCGGGGAGACCUCUUAGACCAUGGAGGAAUUACAGUU
rnacentral:lncRNA from 1 species